rnacentral:rRNA from 1 species
AUUGAACGCUGGCGGCAGGCUUAACACAUGCAAGUCGAGCGGAGAGAGGUAGCUUGCUACUGAUCUUAGCGGCGGACGGGCGGGUAAUGCUUAGGAAUCUGCCUAUUAGUGGGGGACAACAUUUCGAAAGGAAUGCUAAUACCGCAUACGUCCUACGGGAGAAAGCAGGGGAUCUUCGGACCUUGCGCUAAUAGAUGAGCCUAAGUCGGAUUAGCUAGUUGGUGGGGUAAAGGCCUACCAAGGCGACGAUCUGUAGCGGGUCUGAGAGGAUGAUCCGCCACACUGGGACUGAGACACGGCCCAGACUCCUACGGGAGGCAGCAGUGGGGAAUAUUGGACAAUGGGCGCAAGCCUGAUCCAGCCAUGCCGCGUGUGUGAAGAAGGCCUUAUGGUUGUAAAGCACUUUAAGCGAGGAGGAGGCUACUCUAGUUAAUACCUAGAGAUAGUGGACGUUACUCGCAGAAUAAGCACCGGCUAACUCUGUGCCAGCCGCCGCGGUAAAAC